GACGUAGGGCGCGAGCGUUGUCCGGAUUUAUUGGGCGUAAAGAGCUCGUAGGCGGCUUGUCGCGUCGUCCGUGAAAACUUGGGGCUCAACCCCAAGCUUGCGGUCGAUACGGGCAGGCUAGAGUUCGGUAGGGGAGACUGGAAUUCCUGGUGUAGCGGUGAAAUGCGCAGAUAUCAGGAGGAACACCGGUGGCGAAGGCGGGUCUCUGGGCCGAUACUGACGCUGAUGCGCGAAAGCCAGGGGAGCAAACGGG
rnacentral:rRNA from 1 species